rnacentral:rRNA from 1 species
UUACGGGAGGCAGCAGUGGGGAAUUUUGCGCAAUGGGCGAAAGCCUGACGCAGCAACGCCGCGUGAGGGACGAAGGCCUUCGGGUUGUAAACCUCUUUUAACUGGGAAGAAACACCUCCAAGCAAAUAGUGCGGAGGCUUGACGGUACCGGUUGAAUAAGCCACGGCUAACUCUGUGCCAGCAGCCGCGGUAAGACAGAGGUGGCAAGCGUUGUUCGGAUUUAUUGGGCGUAAAGAGCGCGUAGGCGGUCUCUUAAGUCGGUGGUGAAAUCCCGGGGCUUAACCCCGGAAUCGCCCUCGAUACUGGGAGACUUGAGUGCGGGAGAGGGUAGUGGAAUUCCCAGUGUAGAGGUGAAAUUCGUAGAUAUUGGGAAGAACACCGGUGGCGAAGGCGGCUACCUGGACCGCAACUGACGCUGAGGCGCGAAAGCGUGGGGAGCAAACAGGAUUAGAUACCCCGGUAGC